rnacentral:lncRNA from 1 species
AAGAGUGAAUGCCUGGGAACUGGGGAUUUGACCUACAUGGGAGUUUGACAUGCAGCAGCAUCUGAGCUUCAUUGGUGUUUUUUUUUGUUGUUGUUGUUUUUUUUCUUCUCAGUGGUGACCAGCAAAACAAACACCUGCCAAGGACCCCCUGCUUGAGGCUGUUUUAUUCCUGGUGCCAGGAGGAUGCUCCAGUGGGUGCCCAGAGUGCCCGGGUGUCACGCUCUCUUCCAGGUCUCCCCCUGCUGCCUGUGCUGCUGACCCCAGCCCUCUGCCCCUGGCCCUCAAAGCUCUGCAGGCUCCUGCUCUGCGCUCAGCAUGCUCCUCCCUGGUGGACCCCGGCCCUCUGAGGAAUCGCUCUGGAGCUCGAGGCCAGCCUACAGGGAGAGCAUCUUCCUUGCUUUAGCCAUGGAUUUCCUGCAGCUGAAAACAACAAACCAUUUUAAUCUACGUAUUGCUUGUUCUGAUCUUUUAAUCCAGCUUGCUUUCUAUCGUCGGAGAAGCCUAAAAUCAUUUCUCUGCCUGCCCCCUAUUAUAUAAUUAUUCGGCAGAUUACUCAGGGGCCAGAUGUGGCUGGGCACUGCUGUGAAGGGUUGAGGGGCUGCAGAGGAGCAUUGCAGGACUGCUCCCAGGAGGGAAAGUGUUGAGCUGGCUGCACUGUGCUGAGUCCUUUGCGUUCCAGCACGCAACGGCAAGCAAGGUUAUCCCUCAGCUCAUGUUUGUUGAAAGAAAAUGCCUCAGAGUCCAGUUGGAGAAGUGUGGCCUCCAACUUGGGGAGGAUCUCGCUACACCACAGAAGUGCAUUUUAUGGCUGUAUUUCUGUCUCUGAUCUCACUGUGGUGUUAUCCACGUCUUGGGAAGGAAUGAGACAUAUGGAUGGUGCUGCCCGUGCAGAACUGCCUGACAUCCCUGUGUAGAGCAUUGGGUGGGGGACAGCCUGGGUGAAGGACCAGCAGCUGGGGGGAAUAUCGUCGUGACACUGAGAUGACAUGGCUUCAUCUCCAAUGCCCUGAUCUCAGCCAGCUUUCAAGGAGCCUUAGAUGUUAACCUUAGCUAAUGAAGUCUGGAGCCCUUGGGUAAUGGAGUGGUUUGGGAGAGCUGCCUUGCAGAAGCAACAUCGCUAAAACUGAUGCCAGAGGAG